ensembl:snRNA U6 U6 spliceosomal RNA
GUGCUCCCUUCAGCAGCACAUAUACAAAAAUUAUAACAAUACAGAGAUUAAUGUGGCCCCUGUGCAAGGAUAACAUGCAAAUUAGUGAAAUAUUCCAUAUGUGU